rnacentral:rRNA from 1 species
CCUACGGGAGGCAGCAGUGAGGAAUAUUGGUCAAUGGCCGGAAGGCUGAACCAGCCAUGCCGCGUGAAGGUCAGUGCCCUAUGGGCGUUAAACUUCUUUUGUGCGGGAGCAAUAAUGGUCACGUAUGGCCAGACGAGAGUACCGUACGAAUAAGCAUCGGCUAACUACGUGCCAGCAGCCGCGGUAAUACGGGGGAUGCAAGCGUUAUCCGGAUUUAUUGGGGGUAAAGGGUGCGUAGGGUGGGAGGUAAGUCAGCGGUGAAAUGCCACCGCUCAAAGGGGUGAAGUGCCAUUGAAACUGCCUUGCUGGAAUGCGGGUGCCGUGGGAGGAAUGUGUGGUGUAGCGGUGAAAUGCAUAGAGAUCACACAGAACACCGAUUGCGAAGGCAUCUCACGAAUCCGCGAUUGACGCUGAUGCACGAAAGCGUGGGUAUCAAACAGGAUUAGAUACCCGAGUAGUC